GACGAACGCUGGCGGCGUGCUUAACACAUGCAAGUCGAACGGAAAGGCCCUGCUUUUGUGGGGUGCUCGAGUGGCGAACGGGUGAGUAACACGUGAGUAACCUGCCCUUGACUUUGGGAUAACUUCAGGAAACUGGGGCUAAUACCGGAUAGGAGCUCCUGCUGCAUGGUGGGGGUUGGAAAGUUUCGGCGGUUGGGGAUGGACUCGCGGCUUAUCAGCUUGUUGGUGGGGUAGUGGCUUACCAAGGCUUUGACGGGUAGCCGGCCUGAGAGGGUGACCGGCAACAUUGGGACUGAGAUACGGCCCAGACUCCUACGGGAGGCAGCAGUGGGGAAUAUUGCACAAUGGGCGGAAGCCUGAUGAAGCAACGCCGCGUGCGGGAUGCCGGCCUUCGGGUUGUAAACCGCUUUCGCCUGUGACGAAGCGUGAGUGACGGUAAUGGGUAAAGAGGCACCGGCUAACUACGU
rnacentral:rRNA from 1 species